UGCGCCCUACGGGGGGCAGCAGUGAGGAAUAUUGGUCAAUGGACGCAAGUCUGAACCAGCCAUGCCGCGUGCAGGAUGACGGCUCUAUGAGUUGUAAACUGCUUUUGUACGAGGGUAAACCCCGAUACGUGUAUCGGGUUGAAAGUAUCGUACGAAUAAGGAUCGGCUAACUCCGUGCCAGCAGCCGCGGUAAUACGGAGGAUUCAAGCGUUAUCCGGAUUUAUUGGGUUUAAAGGGUGCGUAGGCGGUCGGAUAAGUUAGAGGUGAAAUCCCGAGGCUCAACUUCGGAAUUGCCUCUGAUACUG
rnacentral:rRNA from 1 species